rnacentral:lncRNA from 1 species
GCGGGGCGAGUGGGGGGCCUAGGCGGUGUCUCUCCCCGCCCCCCUCUGUCCCUGGUCCCGAGCCCCGGGACACAGUCCCAGCCCGGCGGGCAGCCCCAGCCCCUGCCGAUGCCGUCCCGGGGACGCAGACGCCAGAGCCCCUCCGGCCAGGGCAGGGACCUGGGCCGGCCCAGCCAGCGCUGCCUCUGGGCUUCCAGGGUGCCUGACAACUGACCAACCAGCUGGGGAUCACUGUCGUGCAUUCAGGCUCUGGAGCUAAAGACCCUUGGAUUCGUGGUCCCUGCU